rnacentral:rRNA from 1 species
UACGUAAGGGGCAAGCGUUGUCCGGAAUCAUUGGGCGUAAAGAGCGUGUAGGCGGCCUGGUAAGUCCGCUGUGAAAGUCCAGGGCUCAACCCUGGAAUGCCGGUGGAAACUGUCAGGCUCGAGUCCGGAAGAGGCGAGUGGAAUUCCUGGUGUAGCGGUGAAAUGCGCAGAUAUCAGGAGGAACACCAAUGGCGAAGGCAGCUCGCUGGGACGGUACUGACGCUGAGACGCGAAAGCGUGGGGAGCAAACAGG